rnacentral:rRNA from 1 species
GUGGGGAAUAUUGGGCAAUGGGCGAAAGCCUGACCCAGCAACGCCGCGUGAGGGAAGAAGGCCUUCGGGUUGUAAACCUCUGUCCUUGGUGACGAAAAAAAUGACGGUAGCCAAGGAGGAAGCCCCGGCUAACUACGUGCCAGCAGCCGCGGUAAUACGUAGGGGGCGAGCGUUGUCCGGAAUUACUGGGCGUAAAGGGUGCGUAGGUGGCCUUUUAAGUUGGAUGUGAAAUACCCGGGCUUAACUUGGGGGGUGCAUCUAAUACUGGAGGGCUAGAGUGCAGGAGAGGGAAGCGGAAUUCCUAGUGUAGCGGUGAAAUGCGUAGAUAUUAGGAGGAACACCAGUGGCGAAGGCGGCUUUCUGGACUGUAACUGACACUGAGGCACGAAAGCGUGGGGAGCAAACAGGAUUAGAAACCCCUGUAGUCU